GUGGUGCAGUCAGGUUGCAACCUUGAAACUUGUAAUACGUUUGGCUAUCAUGAGGUGAACUCCAGAGUUUGUUGUUAGACAGACCCAAAAGGUUUUGUCUCAGGCAGUGCUUCAGUAGUGUGCUGGUUUUUCUUUUCCCAGCGUGUGUGAAGUUUUCAUCAGGAAUGAAGCCUUAGAAAGUCUCCCUUCUCAGAGCAAACUCCCAGAGACUUUGGAGAUGUCAUAAACCUCUCUCUGGGGCUAUUCCUCGUAUAGUUUUAGUUGUUAAACUGUUCUUGAAGGUAAAAUAAUCUUUCCUUCUAGGCUUCCAGCCUUUAUCAGAAAGGCAGCAGUUUGAUAUCCUGUGGUGGUUUUAUCAUAAAGGUUUUCUGCAGAUAGGUUAACAAAAGACCUUAAAGGCGGCAGAAAUUAGCUAUCAGUUUGCAAGUGCUCUGAAACUGUUGUGUAGUGGUAUUUAAACUAUACUUGUUUCAUUGAGAUAGGAGGGCUUGUAGUCUGGAGAAGAUGGAGCUUAACUCAUGCCUUAAUUCUUCCCCAAAUACAAACGAAAACUUGCCGCCAUUUUACCAUUUAACAACGGUAUCUUUGGUACGUGUAAAAUGUACAUAUCCAGCCUUUUUUGUAACUUAGGCCUUCGUAAGAAAUGUAAGAGGUCUCAUGGAUGGAGAUGAUGUUUGCAUCCCUCUUAUGGAUGAUCUGUUGUUUAGGAACUUUGUCAUUUCAUUGUAGGAUUUCAUGUUUGAGGGAAUAGCUGAGAGAGUACGCAGACAGAGCUGGGUGUAGAGCUUUGGCUGUUCUGCCUCCUUAUGGUGGGUGCUCAGACUGGUUCUGUGGAGGGAAAGAUUGCUUUUUUUCUUCCCACCUGUCGCAUUCUUCAGUUGUUUAAGAAGUCUGAGAAGUCUGUUUCUUCAUGGGUUUUUUUUUUUUUUUUUUUUUUUUGAGAAGUAUAUUACAGUGGUUGGCAAAGUUAUUAAACGACCAGUUCUGAACUUCACAGUUUGAAGAUGGAAGAGGGAAACUUUUUUUCCUUCUGAUUCUGACCAGAUUUAUUUGCGUGGUUCCUUGGCCUCUUCAGCAGUGCUUUGCUAUAAAUCAAAGUAAAUGAAGUUGAACAAAAAGUCCAUAAAAACUCAUGUCCCAGAUUCCUCUGGUGGAGUUUAAAACACAGUUGAAUGCUGACAACUCUUCUUCACAGCAGUAUCCCAAGAUGCUCAACCUCUACUUCAUUCUCUCCAAAUAUCUUGAUUUCCAACUGUCUCAUUCUAGCUGCACCAUUGGUAAACAUGCAGAAAUAACUCUGUUGUCUGUACAAGCCUGUUUGAGCCCGCUGCAGGACAAGAGAUUUAUGUUAAAGUUGACAUGCUUCUCAGGGAGCAAAUGGUGUUUUCCCAUCAUGUUUGUUAUUAUUAUGACAACAUGCAUUUGAGAUUGUUUCAGGUGGCAUUCCUGAAAAGGGGUGAUCUUUCAGGUUGCCGAGAAUCAAGCUGUUCGGAAUUUUAUAGGUUAAAAGUUAGUAUUUAUUUAAGCAUCGUUUGGAAACCGGUGGUCAUUCAGGGUACAUUAUGGAACAGUAGAGUCAUGUGCUUCUCAGCAGGGGAUGCUGCUUAAUGAUGGCACUGCAAUGUCCUGUAUUUGGGAGGAGCGGAGUUGCAGUGAAGGAACGGUCUCUUUCUACAGUGUGAACAGGGAACUGCUUUACUCAGGCUUUUACAAAUAAAUGAAUCUCUGGAAUAAGAUCCUUCGCUCACUCACACUUUCCUCUUUUUUCCCUGUGGUAUCAGAAAUGGACACUUCAGGAUACUUUUUACAAGUCUGCUAACUUGAAAGAGCAACUAUGUGUAACCACAUAUGAAAUUAGAGUGUUUGAAAAGGACAAAAAUCCUUCCAAUAAAAAUCUUGGAGAAGUGUUAGCUGUAUUGAAAGCAAAGCAGAAUAACUGCUAUAGUUAUCUGAUGAUAUUUUUUAACCGAGUAGAUAACGUACAGAUGUCAGUGGGUUUUCACUUAGUGAUGGUUUGAAACCCUCAGUAAGAUAAUGCGUAUUAUAAUGGUAGAUUUAUAAAAAAAAAAUACACGAUGUGUGCAUGGGGGGAAUAUUGUUUUCUGUAACAAAGCCAUCAGAACUUGAUGGGGAAAAAAAGUUGUAUAUGUAUACAUCCAUAAGGUUUUUCUGAGGCGGAGAGGUCAGACACCCAGAUGCACAGGUCUGCAGAGCUAUGCUCUUGUUGUUCAUGGGAGCUGUGCAAACACAAAGCUUCUCUACGCUCAGCUGGUGCAUGGCCCUGUGCUUUCUGAUGUGACUUUAUGAUACAGACUUCAGCAACACCUGGUAUUUUAGUCCAGUGAUGAGAGUGUAUUUUACAAAACGUGAGUGUAAACAUUGCAUGGCUUUGGACUUCACUUUUCGGUGCUGUGGAGCGUUCCUAAGAAUAAGAGCAUUUUGCUUCAUCAGAAUUACUGUUUCCCUCUGGUUUAUUUGCUCAUAACCAAAUUCUGCUCUGUAAUUUUGUUAUUAUUAUUUGCUCAGAAUCGGGCUCAUAUUUUUCCUUCAAAUGAACACACGUUGCCUGUACUCCUGCUGAGAUGAUUAUGCAUAACACCUCUGACUCAGCAGAUCAAAAGUUAUGUUUGUUGGAAAACAGAAUUAAUAUUCUAUAUUUUUUCAACAGCUUAAAAAUAGCUGUGUCGAAAGAGAUUAUGCUUUUAACAUGCUAAUCCAUUAAGCCAUCGUACAUCAUUCUGCAGGGAGUGUUUUUAUGCCAGGCAGCUGUCUCUUACCAGAGUCCAUCUGAAAGGUUUCAGGUUAUCGCAGGAAUACACCCAUAAACCCGAGAGAGGCUUCUUUAAUAGAAUGUGUGAUGUGAGCAUAAUCAAAUGGCAGCCUUUUUUCCAGGAAUUGUUUUCCAUGUCAGUGUUGUUUGGCCUGUUUUAGGGCAUUCUGGCUAUUUUGAGACAAAUAGAUGAUUUAAGGCGGCAUUUGCGAAAAGCUUUUCUCAGACAGGGGAUGUUAACAGUUCCUAAUUUGAAUGUGGAGUAUUACGUUGUGAUAGCCAAAUAUCUGAGUGGCUUACUUUCCUGAUUACAUGAAAGAUAAAGAGUGAUGAAAAUUCGUGCCAGAUGGAUUGGAGACUGGGAAAUGCAUCGGAAUGGAGGUGCACAAAGGUUGGAAGCAGCAGCACCGACCGUGCAGAAACAUUUGUGAAGCGCGCAAAAUGCAACUGGAAAGUUAAGCUGUCUUAUCUUCUGACUUCAGGAAUCCUGCGUGUUACGCUUGUAAGAACAGUAGGUAGGGGUGUGAGAUGGAAAUUUGGCUGUGGGUUUACUGCUGCUGCAGGCACCAGUCACUCUUUAGCUGUUAAAUAUUAAGAGAAGGAAUUUGCUUCUAGUCAGAUACCUAAAAUUUGCUGAAACAGCUUAGCAAUGGCAAUUUAAUUUUGCUUUACAAGUGUUAAGUCAGAAUGGUACAACAUAAGAUAUUGAGUAGUAAUGACUAAAUGUAUCUGCUCUGGCUGGUUGUAGAACUUUAUUUGAUGUUAUCUGCCAGGUUAGGGUGCUUGAAAAUGUGCUGCUGCCUGACUGUUGAGCUGGGAUGUUGCUAUGAUUUCCUAUAGGCAAGUGAUCUGUAAAGAACAUUUUCAGACAAGCUUGGCUGUACUUAAAACUGGUAGAGUUAGGUAGGGCUUGACACACUUCUUCCUUAGGCGCACUGAGAAGCAUUCCGCAGCUUGGGCCAAUGUAUUUUUGAGCUGGGGAAGUGUGUAAUGUUAUAUAAUGUAAAAGAAUCCUCAUUUCUGAUGGGAUUAGCUCUGUAACUUGAAGUAUGGCUCUGUGGUGGUUUUUUUGUUGUUGCUGUUACACAGGUACUGUGACUAUAUGUGUAACUACGAUACUCUGUGUUGUGCAGCCAUUGCAAAGAGCAGUGAGACAGGGAGAUAUAUGAGGGACAGGAUGAAUAAGGAGAGACAGGGAGAAUAUGGGAACGAAGGUAGCAUGUGGUGUAGGGCAAGUGAGACAUCGUAGGGCCUACACCAAGUAUGCAGCGACAGCCCAAGGAACUAAGAAACUGUGGAUUGCUAUAAGUCUGUCUACUGUUCGUGUGUGAAAAUACUUCCUAUAGAGUGUAUAUAGUUUGUUGAUGAUUGUAAUGCUUUCAACAAGGAGUUUUGUGGUGCUGCACCGAAGUAACUAUGCCAGUCUUUAUGUAAAGUGUUUUUAAGUAGACUGUUGAAAAGACGGCAUUCCAAACUGCCACGGUUUGAAAACCUGAUAAGGAAGGAAUCAUUGUGAAUUGUUUUUGUUCCAAAGCAGUAUAUUUAGUCGUCCUGGCUGAUAGAUCUUACUCCUCUAAGGCUGUAUUCUUGCCCAGCAGUUAGAUGCAGUUACCUACCUUUGAGCUGAUUCCUGGAGUUAGCCUAACUCGAAUGGCUGCAAAACAGGACGUAAAUCACUUUGUGGAUCUGGGCUGUUAACUGUACUAGUAAAAAACAUCCUCUGGGUCACCAUUUUAAAUGAAAACAAACAAACAAAAACCCACCACCACCAAGAUAUUCCUGCGUGUGAUUGGGAUAGGUGUUACUCUGUUCGUGCUUACGGCCAGUGCAGAAACGGAGAAUGUCUCUAAAUUCAGCAAGUGGUGUGUGUUGCUCUAAAGGCAGCAAGUGACUCAUGUGACUGUCUUAGCAGCUGGGCAGCAAGAUUAGAGAGCUACUAUGUACACAUUCCCUUAGGGGGGGGGUCCAAGCUAUUGCUAAAUGAAGUUGUGUUACAGCCAACAACUGAAUAACGGGCAUAAGGAAUAGUAAAUAAACGUGUCAUAAGGUUACCUCAGCGGUCGUUUCGGAUGGUCUUUGGAGUGAAGAAAAAUUGCUCCAGGUUUCUGUUUCAAAGACUUUCUGUCUUUUUUUUUUUUUUCCUAACACGUCAACUUCAUACGUCAUUGCAUAUCUAUUGUCCCUUUAAGUUUGCAGAUAUGUAAAAGUCAUCUUGGAAUGGCUGUUCCUGACACUGCAGGAAAAAAUGAAGAUGUUAGUGAGUGAAGAAUCUUAUUCCAAAGAAAUCCUUUAUUUGUGAAAGUACUAAAAAUAUGCUUGUAUCUCGAAGUAUUUUGAUUUGAACUGAAAUUGGCAAAGCGUAUACUUCUUGGUCACUUGCUAAUUUGAAGACUUAUUCAUGAUGUUAUUCCUCAUGUAUUUCCUAAUUGUAAGAAUUUGUGAAGCUUGUUCCAAAUUGUCUUUAAGUUUUCCUGGCAUGCCAGUAUGGAUUAGUGGAAUACGUGUUCUUUUUAUUUUUUUUUCAAGUGUCCCUCAUCUAAUUCUUUUUUUUUUUCUUUUUUCUUUUUUUUUAAACUCAGACGCUUGCUUUUUGCAGGGAAGUUACAAAACGUUUGUGAAUGCUUUGUCUUCUAUAGAUACGUAUUUACAGUUACAGAUAGGUGCUUAAUGUGUUAUUUGUGGAUGUAAACUCAGAAUUGUUGCCCUGUCAAAUGCCACUGUAGGACUAAACCUCCCAAGUGCUCCUUUCAGUCUUGAGGACCAGAGGACGUGCACUUGAUGACUGCAGUCAAGUAAAUUGAUACAGAAAUCAAGAAAACGUGAAUAUGAAGCUCCUUAGUGCCAUUUUUAGCAUCAACAUUCAGGCCAUUAUUAUGUCUUACAGCUGAGAAUUUAUUUACCAAAGAGGAGUUUUUGUGUUUGAAAAGACCAGGUGGAGGAGAGGUCAAGCCCUCCAUCAAUUCAUUAUAGUAAAAGAGGACCAGACGUGUGUUCCUAGCCAUCAUCACUGCAUCCUGCUGCCUUUAAAAACCAGCAACUCAUUGGUUUUUUGGUCUGCUUCAGGUUUUCUGAUUUCUGCUUUCUCUUUUCCUGUUUAGAAACGACUGGUUUCCUAUUUGUUACUCUCUUUCAUGUUCAUUGCAAGUUUGUGCGACUGUUCCUCAGCAACGGUUUUGAUUUAUAUCUCUAAUAAAAAUGUAGAGCUUCGUAUAAGUUGUCAGUGCAUCAGACAGCUACCUUCCCAAGGCGAACCAUCCUGUUAAUAACAGUGCACAACACCUUGUUGAUCUGGUCCUUUUGUCUUUGCAUGUGCUGAUUUCUCUUUGUAAUGAAGUCUCUUGCUGUUUAGUGUACAAAUCUUUGAUUUGUAGGCAUUCUUUGUUGUUGUUGUUUUUAUUAGUUUUGAUUCACCCUCUUCUCAAUCUUUGGUUACUGUUUUUUUCGUGUACUGUUUUCCUGUACCAAAUUGCUGUCAUCAUUUUUUUUAUUUUUUAUUUUUUUUGUCACACAUUACUCAUCGGUUGCAAAAGAAAAGUGUGUGUUCUUAUUUCUUCAUUGCUUAGUUGAACGGUGCUCUGUGACAUCGGAGCAUGAGCAAACAGAGGGGUACCUGUCUGUCGAUAAGGAGCUUACAGAUGCCAUGAGAGGAGACUGUGGCCAAGGGUAUACCUGCGGAAUGCAUCAGUCCUCUGAAAAGCAGUAACUACUCGCAUGCAUUCGUGGAUUCUUAUGUGUUUUCCUUGGGGUGAGCCACCAGAAACUUCCAGCAGAGUUUUAGGUUCUGAGCUCUGCUGUCCUGUGCUGCCUACAGCACCAGUCGCCUGGGCUCUGACCUCUCUCGUGCCAAAGAACU
ensembl:lncRNA